GAAAUAAAAAAAUACACAAACAGAGGAAGAGAGAUGGAAAGAAGAGUGGUGAUGCUCUCUGCUUUUAUAGGACUAUCUACUAUCCCAUCGGGAGCUCUGUGAGAAGUUGAGGUACUUGCAGGUGAAAAGUCAGAAUAUUUGUUCUCUCACGUAAAGUAGAAAUCCCAAGAAUACUUAAUCUACUUUCCAGAUGAUCUAAGAGUUUAACAACAGGCUUAUUAAACUUCUUCUCGGCCUCUA